UUCCAGCUGUGAAAACAAAGAGCGAAUCGAGUUCAGACAUACUUUAAUUACAAAACAGAACACAGCAUGACAAAAUGUUUUACGAUUGAGUCAUUAUCGGUUCGUUUAUGUCUUCACUCUCCAGUUUGUCCCCGGUAUGAUUGACCAUAAAAUAUGCUCCCUGGGCAAGAAGGGAGGGCACCUGUGCACAACCUACGGGGAAUUUCCAUGGAAGGAUAAACACCCUCGUACGAUCAUCUGAUGCACUGUUGUGGUGGGGCGUGAUCUUCCCACCGGCGCAACCGUUACGACCUGUAACACUCAUCAAAAUAUCAUUCAUGUCGGUCUCACGCGACAUGUGAGAAUAGUAGAAUGAAGCUAACGAAGAAUGAAUAUCAAAACCCACCAACCAAGCCACAGUUCCAAUGCUGAUGCACCUAGCUGCAGUGCCAAACGUAGACCGGACUGUUGUGCUUUUUAUUAUUCUCGUCGCUGCAGACUAAACGAAGACUUCGUUCGAAAAUGCUUUGUUCAAAAUGAAAGUACACCAUGCCAGACCUGGUAAAUGAGAAUCGGCUCUGGUGUUACCACAUCACACGUUUCUGCGUUACCUUCCUUUAGGGCCUCUUUGAUCGGUUCCCUCUAGCUCUAAACGAUCCACUGUGGGAACCUCGACCUACCAAUUCUAAGACGUCACCCAGGGAAAUAUACUGCAAUUGCGUCUAUUGCGACUGCCGUGAGCUGUGGCCAGAAAUUGUUUCCGCCGUCGCAAGGUCUCGUACGGUCACAGCCAAUAUAAACACACACAAACGUGCAGUUGGCCGCCGAAAGGGGUUAUGGAUAACUGCAGGUGGAAACGAACUGCAAAAACGACACCUUUAGCAGAGUCUGGAGGCAGAACGGUGAACGAACAUGUAAACACACUGGAAUCCUUCUCCAACAUCGGUUCUGUCUCUUUCCGUCUUUCCGAACGCUUGUGUCUACCGUGGACGUGCGAUGGAUAAAAUUAUACCUUUCAACAUUUGCAAAACCGUAGUAGCAAGAAGAAAGGAAGGCCCUGCAAAGCGAAAGGCCGCGGGGGUAAGUGAGCCUCCUAAACCGCCCCCACCAAAAUCACAUGCCCGUUUUCCGCAAACUGUCACUCCGAGAGGGGAAUGGAAGGUACGGUAACGCUUCGGGAAGACCUGCUGGUAGCACGGCCUGAAGCCUCAACGGUGUUAUGCAUGGGAAAAUAUUUUAAUGGACGAAUCGUGGCAACCGUAGCGCAACGAACCGACGAAAGGAAGACAGAGGAAGCCCGCGUAAGCACAUGAUUGAUUUUUCGUCCACUGUCUCCACAUCAGGCUUGCUCGGUUGGUGCGCUCCGACAGUUGUCGCAUUUUAUUUUCUGCCCGUCAGAAGGCAAAGCCUUCGUCCGCACCGUAGUCGUCUCGAAUAGCGCUAAGCUGGAGCCCAGUAACGAGGUACUUGUGGUGGUAAACGACACACUAACUAAAUCACUUUACGCGCACUAAACUUGGUGCUCUUCCUUGGUGCCAUUCGUCUCUAGCUAAAACGUUUUACAAUCAUGAGCUAAUGCUGUGAUUGAUUGUUGGAAAAAGAUUUUCCUAAUCUUUUUGGAUAAAGUUUGCGUUUGUAAGAUACAUCAUUUAGAUUUUCUUUUCUUCGUCAAGGUUCUGCUCUAGGUGAAUGUAAGGUCAUUUAUUUCCUUGUCACCAAUAUCUUAAUAUCUGCGAAACACAGAGCAUUAAGAACUUCCACUAAUCUUUGACUACUACUAGCUGAACUUUAGCGCUAUUGCUGAGCAAACCCCCAGAAUAGUAUACCGGUUUACUAAGCUCGAGAAGUUUACACUAAAACUAACAGAUAUCGUUGUAAUUCCAUCUUCGCUUGCAACCGCCUCAACAUGCUCCAUUGCAUCCCAAAAGUGAAAUGUCCCAAUGUGAUGUCGGUGGCUUUGCUGCCUUUGCCGUCUUGAGGUUAGGGUUAGGUGAUGCACGUCACGAUGACAUCAAAUUUGCCCGAUCUCAGCAGGAAAACUGGAAAGGGAAGCUCUUGCUCUCUCUCUCUCUCUCUCUUUCUCUCUCUCUCUUCCACUCUAAUACUCUUUCUCAGUAAAGGUACGAAGCGUAUGCGUAUUACGUAAGAGACGCCACGGUUCCCACGCGAUUCGCAUUGCGGUCGCUCCAAAAUCUACCAAACAGCGCCAUGACACUUCCCAUGGCUGUUCAGCAUUUCGUGAUGAUGAUGCCAAUGUCGGUUCCACUAGCGUCGAAUAAUAAGUAACUCUAGCGACGGUAACACAUUUCUGGAAGUUCUUAAGACCCUCAGCGUAACUACAGUGAGCACCCAGUGCGGUGGGUUUUUGAGCCUUCUCACCCGUUUUGAUUGGUGAAAUUGGUUUUCAUUACCUGUCAAUUAAGUUUUCUCGGUCGUGUCGAAGGUCUUUGUCUUGGGCUGGUUCGUAUGCAUCGUUUUUCGGCGGGGGCAUGUAAAGCACCCCCCGAAUGCUCCCAAUCCAGCUGAAAGGUACCUCCAUUAGAUAACUGCCGAGGCAUUCGUUCGUUAGAUUUGACAGUCGCUGUACUUGGUGGGAAGGAAGAACGCAAACGAUUUGAUUAAUAAUACCCGCACUACAUUGCUGCUUGCAGUGCUUGCGGGAAGCCACAUAUUUGACAGCCAUGAACGAUGAACGAAUGGGGUGCUGCUAUGGAUGGAUCAUACUGAUCAACUUAAUCGGUCGGAUAAUUAGCAAUUAGGUCGUUUCAACUCCAGCUUUAGAGCGCCGUUCGUGCCAGAAGGUAGGGUAAAAACGACCCUAACUUCCGUGAUUCCGCCAACGAAACUUCGACACGAUCACGAUGACGAGGAAAGUGCCGUGGGAACAUCCAAGGAACGUGAUGAUGGGCAGAAUAAAUUCAACACCCGAGUUCGCGAGCUACUAAGCAAUAGAAGAAGCAAAACCGAACCACCCUAAACAACUUUGUGUGCGUGAUUUUCUACGCUUUUAAUUUCUUGACGUGAGAUGCGCGCUACUUUCACUCGCCGGUAGAAACUGGACGGACCUUGAAUCGUUUGGAUUUUGAAGAUUAUUUUCGCAACACAUCUUCUUUCUCAGUUACGUCCCGGUGCAAGAGUGGCGCUGUGGCUCGUUAGCUCGGUUUGGCUUGUUUUUGUUAGCCGAUCUCAACCUCCCACGACCCAGUUGGGAAAGUGGCCGUAUCACGAAUUCGUUUUCGAUUUGGGCCCACGCUUGAUCAAUCAAAUCUAAACGAAACCCGAAUAGAAAGGGAACUGAUUAGCUUCAACGCACACAUCGUGCUGCCCUUUUUGGGUGAAAUGUAGCUAACUCGAUAGCUGAUUAAUGAUGAGCCACAAGCACGAUUGGAGGAAUAGAUUUACAGCUACGUCUCGUUACUGCAGAGGCAGACACCGGAAACUGGGCUCAUGUAGGUGUGUAGGAACCUUCAAUUUAUUUACCUUCGCGUGCUACUUGAACUAAAUGUAAAGAAUGGUAGAUUUCUGUUAUUAGUUUGCACGUUACACGAUAUUGACUCACCGUAACUACUCGCCACCAAAGCAGCGUGGACUUAUUUGCAUGCUAGGCAAAAAGCGUCACUCGACUAACCGGUAUGGAUUCAAGCAUCAACAACAACAAGCUGCAUGAGGCGCAAAAAAAAACCAUCACAAGAGAUAUCACCUCACCCUACCCGACGACUCCGUGGAGACUAAAUAUCUACGUCAAAAUAUAAAUUAUUUACCACUUGGUGCUACCGCACCGGACCGGAGUUAGUGAAACUAAAACCACGAGCGAGCGAGCAAGUCAACGCCGGCGGGACGGAUACCUUACGCUGCACACCAUGCAAUCCACCCAGCCGUGGGACAAAUGGGGACAAGCGCAACCAAGCAUUCCGACUCUACAAAGCACCUGUGUUGUGUGUGUCUGGUUUCGUUUACGUUCCACCGCACCAUAUUGUAGGUCAAACCGGACUCCGAAAGAAGCUAGUGGCCAGGUGUUAAAGGCAUGUGCGGGACAAGUGCGCUUUUGCAUGAAUCAUACGUAAUGGAGUGCCGCGAAGCAACAAGGGGGACCCUUGGUCUCAAGCCCCCACUGGAACUGGUGUCUCGCUUUGCGCCGAGCCCCGAGCACAGUCCUCAACAAAAGCUUCCCAUUUAACGAUCAACAUCCUCUUUGGCGCUGGUUCGCUUCUGGUGGAGUGUGAACACAUUCUACAGCUACUUCGCGAGAAUUGCUGCGCUUCUAGCACCACUCCAGACCAUGGUCCGUUCAUGGUAGUUUUUGGCACGUGUUAAUAUUGCCCAGCGCGUAAAGUGGGAUUCGCCAAUGGGAGGCGGAGUGUGGGACAGCAUUAUUAAUAAUCAAUCUCUACUACAUUAGACCGCCGCGCGGUAAGUGCCACAAUCGGAAUAGCAUGGCGAUAGUUGAUUGGAAUGUUGUUCUUGCCGUGCAAAACUUGGUUUCGGUACGUUGGCCCCUUUCGGUGCUUUCGGUGAAGUAUACGACGGAAUGCCACCAGACUGCCUGUCGAUGGCCGAAACUCCCCACAUCCGCAGGUGUCCGAACAGCGAUUCGGCAGAGUGGCUACUUAAGCCACUGGUUGAGCUAGAGUUUUUGACAUCUUUCCGUACAAACUGUUCUCCACACAAGUGGGCAAUAAUCAACGAGCACCGGAAUGUCUAGAUCGGUACGAAUUCCAGCACGGUAGGAAAAUUCCAAGAAUUCUCUUCUUACAAACAACUAUGCUUCAUUGUGUCGUUCGCGUUCUAAGGUAAGACGAUUCAGGCAGUAGAGUAUUUCAUCCAACUCCUGUGACACUUUACGCUUAUGUGCAGAUGCAUGUAUCUGCCGCCACAUCAACUACAAUGUCCGACCUGACGCAAGCAGAAAAUCGAUUGGACAUCUUUUCAGGUUCAUCAACUUGUGCAAUGGUCUGCCCGCACUGCUUGUCUUCCACAUUGUCCUCGCGUACGACCAAACGCCAAGAAUGACCUGUGCCCGACCUGUGUCGUUCGGUGUCGUGUGGCCAAAAAAUUGCACACAAAAGAAAUGCAUCUUUGAAUGCACAAAAGACGAACCUUUUUCUUCCAAGCUUUUCAUUCCAUUCGCUACAACGCUAAAAAAACAGCGAAGCACAGAUUUCUAAAAGCAAAAAGAUGUAUAUUACAGAAAAUACAACAUGAUCACGAUCGAGAAGAAUGCAUUUGUUUUGUUCGUUCUCUCUCGCAUCUCGUCAAACUCCACUAGUCAUUACUUACCAACAAUCGAGAACGAUAUCGGGAUGUUUUUUUAUGUUUCAUGGGUAUCUUCAGACGAAAAAAUGAGGGUUGCUGUGAGAUUUUUUACUCUGGAGCUGCAACUACUAUCGAACUUCAUCCCAAUUCUGGAACACGUAUCGUAAAAGGAUCGCGACCUUUCAUGAUCAUGCGCACACACCUUGAGCAUUUUCCCAUGGAAUCGCUGAUCCCUGGAAGUUCCUCUCUUGUUUACUUUUUCUGUUUUGAUUCCCGUCAUGUAGUGCAUUGUGCCGUUCCUGCAUCGCACUGUAGGGGCGAGUGCAUUCAUCAGGGAAAACCUUCCUCAAAUCGGUGCCGAGCGAAUCAUUAAUAUUUCGACCUAUUUUUUUCUCCUUCAGAGAGUCCCGUGACGGGACCGAUUGCUCCCGAACGCUGUUUUUGCUUUUAUGUUGGUCUGCACAAAAUAGGAAAAAUGUCACCAAAAUACCGAAAGGGGAUGGAACACGGGAACAAUGUCAUGAACGAAUUAUUUAUAGCGUUGUACCUGAAGUAGACAGGCAAAAGGGAAUGGUAAAAGAUUUCCAUUUCAGGGAGAUAUAUUUUUUUAUAUUGUGUGAGAAUACUUUAAUUAACAAAUUUAAAAAAAAAACAAGCGCUACAGCUGCUGCAGCUAAUUCAAGGCAAAAAGAUACAAAACUUAAAAAAAACAUUAACAUUUUCAAUUUUCCCAGGAUAUUAGGAAUCCCCCACGCAACUUCCCGCUGCUUCAUCUGGCGCUACGGGACCGACAACAAACGGUAAUACAAAACCAUAAAACCAGCGCCGUUCGCUGCUAAAACAAACUUUCCCAUCCUUUGUCCGCCCACCAUAAAAACACUAAACAAACUCGCUUCCAUGUCGAAGGUUUGCAAGCCAUACGGUGGAAAAUCGACUCUGAAAGGAUCGCCGGGAUCAAACGAAGCGAAAUGCAAAUUCCACACAUCUGGUACUAUCCGAACGGGCAUUUCCGGACGGCAGAUUGAUUUUCCCAGAUGGCGGCGGGAGGAACGAUCCUUGCGGUCGUCGGUGUAUGUGUGGGGUGCAAUAAAACUCCCUUUCUUCUGGACGGUGCCCCGUUCGAUGGUCUUUGAAACAAAGGCAAUUACACAUCCCGCUGUCAAAACACAACAAAAUCAACAGCCGCACAAACUCUGGCCGAAUGAUAAUCUUCGGUUUAUCCUGUUUCCUAAUUAUCAUGUCCCUUUCUGUGUUCGAACCAAAACGUAAACCGAUCCGGAUACGAUCGAUGUACAGCUGCUGCUGCUACACGGUGCAUCUCAUUAUCUUCUAACUGCGAGCAAAAACACCACCCAAAUGAUUUUGGGUGAUCGAUUCUUAGGAAACGUUCCUUCUAGGAUGUAAAUUACCCCUCCGGUGUACCUUUUCGCUGCCAGAUGUGUUUUUUUCGUUCUUUCUCGUCUAACUUCUCACUUUUCGCUUACUGAAAUUACCUGUAAUUGAAGGGUGCAAUCAAUAUACCUUCCCCAAUAUACCUGAAGUUUAGCCACCAAGAAACACAGGCGAAUUUGUCUCUCAUUGACAGUUCCUGUCCGGUUGCAUGUGUGCAAAAGGGCAAGAGGUCAACAGACGUGCAACAAGGACGACCGGAAACCGGAAUUUGGAUGAUCAUUGAUGAUCUUCGAAUGAACGCUAAAGGAACCCAAGGAUGCGGAAGUAAGGGAAUCGAUGCAGCGUAUCAGCACGAAUGGUGAAAAAGACAAAAAAAAGGUGAAAAAUUACCCAAAACCAAAAAAAGGAAGUAGAAAAGAUUGGAACGAAAAGCAGCAACAAGGGAAAAAAGUGAGCAAAUGCUAACACCGAUCUAUCGACCUUUACUUCCGAUCUUCGUCUGCGUGAAGAUCGUCUUUCUUCCGUUUCUUUUUUUUUCCUUAACGGAUGUUGGGAAAUCCUUCUUCCUUUAGCAUUGAAAGGAAGCACAUUAAAUUUUGCUGCAGGAACAGAUAUGAAAAGAAGAGAGCAAAGAAAAAAAACACACACAGGAUCCAUUUUACAUCUGCGUGUUCACCCAAUACUUUGCACACAAAUCCUGAAUGAUUGGGAAAAAAGCGGAAAUUUCCUCUUCCGCUCCGAGCGUUUAAUUUGAUUUCGAGAAACAGACGUCGCGCAUAGUAAAGUGGAACUGACAGACAGGCGAAAGCGAAAGGAAGAAUAAAAAGCACCACAACACCAGAAAGGAAACGAAAGGAAAAAGUCUCACCAGGAACGACUCGCUGUAUUGAGGGUGGAUAACAAAAUGCCUGCUAUACCGGCAGUAUGGAAGGUCCUUUUUUUAGGGAGAUCGGUCCCACAUCGCCAGAUGUCGGUGUGAGGAUCCGGGAUUGCCAGACCAUUUCGAUUUAGGACGAUUUGAUGGUGUGCCGUGAUGUGAUGGUAUGGUCUCUAUAUGUUCGAUGGCGUGGGAAUGAACUCGAUUUUGAAUUUCUAACAUACUAGAGAUAUAGCGGGAAUAGAGUAGAAGGCACAUGCAGACAAAACUUUCAUCACCUUGCUGGCAGAUACGGGGAAAGCCGGAUGCAUAGGAAAUUGGGGAAAAAAGUUAAUGAACUGUUUCGAGACAUGGAACAAAUCCGUGAACAAGGUGCGUCCGGAUGCAAGUUUCUUGAUGGUAGAAAGUUGUGGGAAAAUCUUAUAGAAUCUGCACUAUUAUAAGAUAUUACUAGAAGUUAUAAAUAAUUCUUGACAUUUCUUCUACAAAGUCAUGUUUAUAUCAGUGUGUAGAUAAAAAGUUUUGAUCAUUUACAACUUAUUCUGCCUCAUGAUCGUCGGUCUUCAGUCAAAUAUAAGGAAGAUUUUUGAUCAUCUAAACAUUAGCCUAUUUAUUUUAUUAGCAAUUGUACUCGUUAUGUCACGAAGAGAUGUUAAAUUGUAAACAAAAAAAAACAUUCACGCACGAUUCAAACAGCACAUGAUACGUUCCUCGUUUUCCUAAUUCCCUAAUUCUCCUCUCCUGCAUUAUUCAGCAAACCUCUCGCGCAUUAAAAACUACACCAAACUGGCGUAAUUAAUGGCACAGUACGCCACGGUACAUCCCACCCUCCGGACAUUGCGUCCGGAAUUGGUUUCAAAUUAAUUACCUGCCCACAGACAUAGCGCCCACUUGAACUAGUUUUGGAUGGUUUUUUGCGCUACACACGCCUUUGUGCUUUAAUUAAACGCGAAUCAAUUAAUUGCCAGGGAAAUAAACGCGCGCACGAGCAAACCAAUUAGCUUUCACUCGGUUAACCAAAAACAGAAGAAAAAAAACAUCAAAACUCAAAAGCACACACAUGCGGUCACGAAAAUCCGAUUGCCGCACGGAAAAGUGGUACACGAAGUAAACGCCGAACUACUCCCUAUGUGGUAAGCUCGUGGCAUGCAAAUGGAUUAAUUUUGGUUUUGGAAAAUGUACCUUCGGUUUAUUUGAGUCGUGCCGAUUGUUAGACAAAUAUGACGUGCAAGACGAAACCCAGAGACAAUUAAUUAGGUUGAUGGUCUAGAGCAAAUGGCAAACGAUUUGAGCGUGAGGUCAGCGUAAGCGUUUCGAUUUGAAUGUAUUAAAGUACACAUUGUACAAUGAGACUGAUGUUCCUGAACGACCUGAGUUGUGCCAGUUCCCACAGUGAUCAUAAAAUCGAUUACUUUUUUUUACUAUUUAAUUCGUUUUUUUUUCUUCCUUCGAAUUGUUAUUUUAAAUCCAUAAAAAGUAUCCACCAGGUAUAAGGACGUACCUUCAAGACGAUCAAGGUUUUGUGCGAAUUUCGAAACUCCGUAAUGAAACGCAAACUCUGCCUUGAAUAUCCUCCAAGAAACCCAACAGAGUCUUAGAAAAUCGCAAAACAAAGCGAUUUAUCGUACUGCAAUGUAAGAAAUGUGAAGAACGUCUCGACCAGGCAGAAAACCCAUCUUGCAGCAAAUGAAACGAACUGCAGCAAUGCAACGGCGCACUAUUGAGGCGAACCUGAAAACCACUUUUCCUUAAAAACAUGCCCAAGUACCAUGCACCAGGAACAGCUGCUUUUUGGGAUUUCGUUUUGAUGAAAAUAUUAUCCCUUCUGGAAGGUUUUGAAUCUUGAAAGCACUGUUUCUUGUAAUAGUACGUUCCAAUCGUAAAGGCUACGACGGUUCGUCCUUCCACAAAUCGUCCUGCCGGAGUAGUGUAUUCCUUGCAUCGAACACAACACAGGUCGUGUGACCGAUACCAAUCAAUUCGGAAAAGCAAAAGGAUUCCUCCGAGCAGAACGAUCGAGCGCUUCAGAACCCAACCGUGUAAGGUCCUUUCGGUGAGGUGAAACUUCUCUCGCUGUUAGGCAUAUGCGUCUGGUUCGCUUAGACGGGGGAUCGAUGAAAGAAGGAGCCAAGCAAAACAGGGCUGCUAAAGGACGAAGCCACAAGGAGACCGAGAGUGAGUGAAGGGACAUAAAACUGAUAGCAGCCGGUGGUGGCAGCAGGCCAGUGAAGAAGAGCCAACUAAAAAGAAGCAACAACAAAAAAAAACUCCCAGGCCACAAUUAUAUGCUGGCAUCGUCCGGUGCCACGCGACACCCGACCAAUCAGAGACGACCAUUUCGGACCCGGUCGCACUUAUGCUGUUGCGGGGUUCCUUGGUCUUUCUAAACGGCAUCCCACGGGUCUCGGUCUCCGUAGGGAAGUGGAUCACGAUCUACAAUAAAAAGAAGAAAGGUAAGUUGAAGAAGAACGCUUUAGAAAAGCAAUCCGCUUUAGAGUGCGUGUGCGCGCAGAUGUUUUACAUACACGGCUUCCCUUCUUUCCCCUGCGGGCCCUGGUUCGAUGACGAGCAGAAGAAAAUGGGAUAAAUGAAAAAAAUACGAUUGAUGUCUGGAGGAUGGAUGAUACCUGAAGCCGCGCAGUGCAGUUGCUGUGGUUUUCCUUUAGCGGAUCAGGCUCGUUUCGUCCUUGCCUGUGAAACAGCUGGAACUUGAACGCUGAGAGCAGCCAAACAGAAUGGGAAAACAAAAUAAAGCCGAACAAAAAAAUAAGCAAAGAACGCAAAAAGCACCUUGCGCCUCGUAAGUCAAUGUUGCUGAUCGUCAAUAGCGGUGACGAGGAUGAGAUCGGGGCCGGCUGCUGCGCGUCAAGAUCCCUAUAUACGAUCGUCAUUAACGGGACACCGAUGGGCGCACGCCUCUCAUCAGACUGUUGUGUUUUUUUUUGGUUUCUUUUCAUUCCGUUCAUCUUAUGCGCUUCUUAUGAUUUUAUGUUGCUCCGCUUCUGAAGCACCGGCGACACGCGCCAUGUGCAAUUUCUUUCACCAUCCCACUUCUACUGUCCUUCUUCUCCACCAUCCACCACCGAGUUAUAUCGGAACUCACAGUAAACAACGCCACAUUAAAAUUGCCUUCGAAAAAAAAUAAGACCACGAAACAUAACCAAACAAAAAACGAAAGAUACAAACUUAAGCAACCAGCAGCAGCAGUCGCGUGGGUCGUUUGCCGCCUGAUGGGGACCCAGGUUCCGGUAUCGAACAGCUGCCGAAAGGCGCGUGUGUGCAAACAUUAACCCCAAACAAAAAGGAAGCGAAACGGGUGCCAGAGGCGACGAUGAUAUGCCAAUCGCAUCAAGCUGCGACUCUGCUGUUACAGCAAACAUUUUUUUAUAAAUGCUUUUAGUUUACCCGUUUUUUACACUCUGUCCCAUCGAUGACGAUCAUAACCGAUGAUCGUUUAGCACCGGGCACCCUCUGUCGACUUUGCACCGGGCUGCCCUGAUAACGAUGUGACAAGGUGUACCGUCGUGAGCUUUCCGCAUACAAAAUAGCGUAACGGCUGACACCGUAGCCACAUCAACGCGACCCACAUCCAUCUACCAUCAUCGGUGUUCAGUGUUUAACCAGCGUUUUUUUUUGUGACAACAUUUUCGACGUAUUUUUCUUUAAUGCUAGAUCUCUUUCUUCGUCUAUUUAUAUUUAAACAAAUAUACUAGUUGGUGUUCAGUAUGUCUUGUCCCACAUACCAGCAACAUGAUAUCAGUGGAAACAAAACUAAAAACACGACAUAAACCACCCUUCCCAAAGGACUGGCGGCACCAUUCCAGUCAACUCGGCUGCGACAUCACCCAAAAAAAGAAGAACAACUAUCUACAUCGGAACAGGGAGAAGAGUUUAUAUUUAUAUUUACCACACACUACGAAUAACUCCAAAGACUUAUUCUACCGUACCAGCAUACACACCCCUAUUUUGCGCUGUUUCGCGACGACGUUUAGACGACGUCUAUUUUCGGGGAGACACAUUUAUGAUACAUCAACACAAAUAAGGUAGAAACUUCCGAAACGCGUUCAUCAUCGUUUUUCUACGCCCCGAGCAGCAUUUGGAGAGAUUUUAAUUAAUGACUGUGACUGGCUGAGUGUGGUAAAAAUAGCAAUGAAGGAGUGAAUUCAACACCAAGUUCGGUUUAGGUCUAUAAUCGUGCCAAAUAAUGGAUGUUUGAGUUCUCUGUACGAUUCCUGAAGUUGUUGCUUACAAACGAAUGAGUAAAAGUGUUUCAAAUUCCAAGAAAAGACAAGUAACUCCAUAUAUCUUAGUCAACCAUCAUAUCUUCAAUGCGUACUCACAGCAGAGUUAACCAUUCCUGAAAAAACACAGAAAUGCAGAUGGCCUUCGAUAAGCGCUUUACCAAAAAAAAGGAUCUUCCAAAUACUUUCAACACCUUGCCAACCACAAACCACCAAUGAUGUUCGCUAAAAAGGGGUUAAUCUACAUUUCAUUCCUCAACCUACAUGCACCGUGUGGUCUCCCAACAUAACCAGAUCUUGAACUAGGGAAAUGCCAACAGAUGGAUCAACAAUAGCGUAGGCACUCACAAUAGCCCCCCAACAAUGCUAUCCAAAAUGACACAUGCUGCCACG